rnacentral:rRNA from 1 species
UACGUAGGGUGCAAGCGUUGUCCGGAAUUAUUGGGCGUAAAGAGCUUGUAGGCGGUUUGGCGCGUCUGCUGUGAAAUUUCGGGGCUCAACCCCGAACUUGCAGUGGGUACGGGCAGACUAGAGUGUGGUAGGGGAGACUGGAAUUCCUGGUGUAGCGGUGAAAUGCGUAGAUAUCGAGAGGAACACCUGCGGCGAAGGCGGGUUGCUGGGCUGACACUGACGCUGAUGCGCGAAAGCCAGGGGAGCGAACGGG